AGAAUGUGGAGAUCAUUCCCACGUUGAAAUGGUGAAGAAAUAUACAAACGAAAGAACAAUUAUUCAGACAACCGCUGUUUUAACACUUCAGUCUGGUAAACGCAUCUGAUCUAAGAACAUUUCCGAAUGGUAGUCUGAAUUAUCCAUUCUAACAACAUACGUCUUUGAUCUCCAUGACUAUCCAGCAGACGGACCGGCAACCGCAGAGAGGGACAACAAAGGCAGACACUUGUAAAUAUCUACAUGGAGGUAUAUUUGAACCUCUACCCGGAGGUGAAGCCUUGGGAGGAGGAAGAUCUUCAAGAGGUGGAGCCUCUGGGGAAGGAGUCUCUGUAGGUGAAGGCUCUGGAGUUGGAGAAGGAGGUGGUGGAGAAGACAAAAAGAAAACAAAGUGCAUCAGGUUUUUCAGGUCCAGGACCAGCUCUUCCAACCUCCCCAAGGAUGACAGAGCCCCACCUGAGCUGCCUGCAUCUCUCACACACACA